rnacentral:rRNA from 1 species
UACGGAGGGUGCAAGCGUUAAUCGGAAUUACUGGGCGUAAAGCGUGCGUAGGCGGUUCGUUAAGUCUGUUGUGAAAGCCCCGGGCUCAACCUGGGAAUGGCAAUGGAUACUGGCGAGCUAGAGUGUGUCAGAGGAUGGUGGAAUUCCCGGUGUAGCGGUGAGAUGCGUAGAGAUCGGGAGGAACAUCAGUGGCGAAGGCGGCCAUCUGGGACAACACUGACGCUGAGGCACGAAAGCGUGGGGAGCAAACAGG